rnacentral:misc_RNA from 1 species
ACCUUGUUGCUUGGGCGGGCCCGCCUUAACUGGCCGCCGGGGGGCUUACGCCCCCGGGCCCGCGCCCGCCGAAGACACCCUCGAACUCUGUCUGAAGAUUGUAGUCUGAGUGAAAAUAUAAAUUAUUUAAAACUUUCAACAACGGAUCUCUUGGUUCCGGCAUCGAUGAAGAACGCAGCGAAAUGCGAUACGUAAUGUGAAUUGCAAAUUCAGUGAAUCAUCGAGUCUUUGAACGCACAUUGCGCCCCCUGGUAUUCCGGGGGGCAUGCCUGUCCGAGCGUCAUUGCUGCCCUCAAGCACGGCUUGUGUGUUGGGCCCCGUCCUCCGACCCGGGGGACGGGCCGAAAGGAGCGGCGGACCGCGUCCGGUCCUCGAGCGUAUGGGGCUUUGUCACCCGCUCUGUAGGCCGGCCGGCGCUUGCGAUCAACCAAAUUUUAU